GACGUAGGGCGCGAGCGUUGUCCGGAUUUAUUGGGCGUAAAGAGCUCGUAGGCGGCUUGUCGCGUCGUCCGUGAAAACUUGGGGCUCAACCCCAAGCUUGCGGUCGAUACGGGCAGGCUAGAGUUCGGUAGGGGAGACUGGAAUUCCUGGUGUAGCGGUGAAAUGCGCAGAUAUCAGGAGGAACACCGAUGACGAAGGCAGGUCUCUGGGCCACUACUGACGCUGAGAAGCGAAAGCAUGGGGAGCGAACAGG
rnacentral:rRNA from 1 species